ACUUCUUACCAAGAACUCCUUAACUUGAGGGUGAACAACUUAAAGCUUGAUCCUACAGUUACCUGAAAAGUGAUUUGAGUAUUCAUUGAACUGAAAGAACAAAUCGCCUACUUCAGGCGGUGGCAAGCGUAUGGAAAUUAUAUUAGAACUUCAGCAAAGUGCACAGCUGCAUAAUAGAGAAGCCGGCACUCAGAUUGACAGGCAAAUAAGCCAGCUUGUGGAAGGGGCCUCUGGGUGGCAGCUCUGGGCUUUUGGGUGUUGGACAACCAUAGGCAAAACUGAAAUGGAACAGGGGCAGAAAAUAGCACACUUUUACUCUACGCAACUGUUGCUUUUUCAUGAUCUUCAGGAAUUUUACUGGGAUAAUUAUCCAAAUAAAUUGCAAGCAUUCUAUCCAAAUGGAGCUCUUUCUGAGAUGAAGAGAAUUCUCAAUGUCAAGAUUUGAACAAGAAGAGAAUGGAAUACACAAUAUGGACAUCCAUAAAAAUUCAUCAGAGAGCAUUUUACUACUGAGCUGCAAAGAUGACAAGAGCACCUCAAAGGCAGCAGCCUCAAGGAGCAGCCAUGGCCCCAGACUUGUCGCACGGAUGCAGAAAACUUAAUGGAGGAGGCUGAGGUCAGAAUGGGAAGAGUUUUUAAAAAAUAAAAAGGGGAGCUAAUAUGUGAGGAACUGAUUGCUGUGCAUUAUUUUCCACUGAACAGACCUUCUUUUAACUUCUAAUCUCAAGCACAUAGCAGCUGUUGUUUUCAUAUUAAAGAUCAGUAAGUGUUUGUUGAAUGAAUGUAUAAAUUCUUCCCCAAUCUCUGUUCCAUGUAAUAAGAACUAAGUUAGCAUUCAAUUAUAAAGAGGACUUAGAAAGUCUGCAGACAUUUUUGAUCAAAAAUCCUUUUAACUGUCUUCUUAUGGUUCCCGGUAACACCUAAGCCCAAAAAACUCAGGUCAUUUCUUGCCUGUACUGUUGCAAUAGCCUCAUAAUAACUAGUCUUCUCCUUUAUCAACCACAGUCGUCUCCGCUACACAAAGAAGAGAGGGUGCUAAUCUAAAGUGUAAAUUAUUUUAAAUCAGCACCCUUCUUGUAAUUUCCCAGUGGUUUUUCCUGUCAUAAGAAUAACAUGCAAAAUUCCUUGCUUGCAAAGCCAGGUAUGACCUUGCCCCGUCUACCUUACUGGCAUCGUCUCUCAUGACUCUUCCCCUUUUUCACUCUCCAUCUUGCCUUUUCCCAACCAUGCCUGCUAGUGAGCCUUAGCCCUUGUGUUUUCUCUGCCAGGGAUGCAUGACUGGCUUCUUUACUUUAUUCUGAUCUCUCUGCUCAAAUGUCAUCUUUUUAGAGAUAGCUUUCCUAAACAUCUUUAAAAGUACCCCAUGAACUGUGAAACACCUUUCCUGCUUUUUCUUCAUAGUACUUAUCACUUCCUGAUAUUAUGUUAGACAACAAGCAAAUAAGUAUAUGCUGUUCCCACUAAAAUAUAAGCUCCAUUUGAACAGGAGCCUUGAUUAUUCCUGAGUAUACCCCUAGUGCCCAGAACCUAGUAGGGCUUUAAUAAAUAUUAGAUUCAUUUGUUGAAUGAAAAAAUGAAUGAAUAAUUGAAUAAAGAUAUCCAGGUAGAGUGUCCGGGCAGCCCAACCUAUGUGAAGCCAGUACAAGAAUGUUUCUGUGACAUAGUGAGCGCAAUUAUUCCUCUAAAUGAUGAACUUGCAUGAGUACACAAGGAUAAAAUUAAGCACGUAGUUUAGAUUUCUGCAAGUCUCUUCCUCAGAUUGAGGAAAAACAAAGAAAUUGAGCUUAUUCUCACCUCAUUCUUACAUGAACUAAAUCCAGAAUAAAGCAUCAUUUAAAUACCAAGCACAUCCCUACCUCAGCCACUCAUGGAAUACUUUAUCUGUAAAGGGACAGAUAGAUAGUAAAUAUUUUUGGCUUUGGGGACCGUACAGUCUGUGUCGCCACUACUCAGCACUUCUGUUGAGGUGUGGAAUCAGCCCUAGACAACACAUAAACAAAUGGGUGUGGCUGUGUUCCAAUAAAAUGUUAUUUAUAAAACUAGGAAAUCAGCAGAUUUAGUCCACAGGCUGUAGUUUGCUGACCCUUGAAUUAGAGAGUCUUCCCCAAAUCCUCUUCCCAAGUUAUUGAAAGAAUGCCCAUAGGACCAUAGCUCCCUCACCUGGUUCUUUCAAGAAAUGAGACAAAUUCAGGGAUGGUUGGAGGGUGGAACGCCUACCUGUGACAUGACUAUUGAGCCUGAUUUCUUUCCUUUUAUCUCUUUAAAGUGAGUCAGGUCUUAACUUUAAACUGUCUCUAAAGUGGCAAUAACUGGGCCAUGUCAAAUACUCCCAAUGACAAAAUUUCUUCUUGGAGAAUGAAUGAGGGUUGCAUACAGUGGUGUGUUGGUAAAUGUUUAGCAACUGGCUCUCUUACUGAUUUCUGUAGUGUAAAUUCUCCCAUCCUGGCCAUCUGAAACUACCAAUAUGAUGUCACUUGAUGUAGAGUUGGGAAAAGACAGUCUCUUGAAUAAGUAUGAGCUGGUUCCAGCCCACUGCUGAACACAUAUUUAAAAGCUACAAUAGCUCUGCUCACUGCCAUUGCAGAGUCUGGAGGAAAGAGUAGCAGGCUUGAUAGGAGCAAUUGGCUGAAUAAUCUUUUGCAAUGCCAAUAAAUAAUGAAAAAGUAUAUAAAUAUAACGCUGUAUAGAAAGCUCUCAAGUUCAGUGUUUGGUUAAAAUACAUACUCAGUAAAUGGUAGCUAUUAUUGUCUUAGUUUAAGUUAUUGCAAGCAUUAAAAUUAAAUGUUUAGCUACAGACUCAAUCCAGUUUUAAUGUCAUUGUGUUAAUAAGGCCUCUUAACAUUGAAGCAACAAAGAUAAAGGAAUUUUUUUGUAGCUAUUCACGAUUCUGCCCAGCUCAAGGUAAAGAUAGCAACAAAAUACUCCAACCAGAAUAAAAGAAGUCUCCACUUGACUGCAGCUCUUCGCAACACUUCACAAGGGUCAAGCUGUGUUAGUUUCCUUCAGUGUUAAACAGAAUGCAUCUUAAGAGAAUAGUUCAAUUAUUGAUUGAAUAGUAGGUUCAAGUUGACUAUAAUCCCAACUAAUACACUCUAAGACCAGGGAUGGGCCGACAGAAGGGUAAAGUUUUCCACUCAAGUCUCGAGGCAAACACUCAGAUAGAAGUAGUAAUAUGGAUGCCUUCUAUUAUUUGGUCACAUACAAUACUGUUCCAGCCCAGUUGUGCAAAACUGGUGAAAUAAAAGGCAAAAAUAUUGACAACAGUUUGGGUAACUGGAUUCCAAAAUGGGCAUCCAUCUAAGAGAAAUUAAUGAAAAAAAAGCAUAUGGACCUUGAAAUACAUUAAUACACAGUUUAGGUUUAAACACUCAGUUUUUAUUAGAAAAGACUAACUUAUCCUGUUUUGAACACUACAAAAGUGCUUUCUGAACCAUUUACUCUCAAACCUCCUCCACCCAUUCCCCUCCAUCUAUAACGCUUUCUGCACAUCUGUAAAAGGUAUGACUUAGUGUUUGGUCUGUGAAAUAAGGUUAAAAAGGAAGCAUUUCUUUUUACAUUCUAGCUAAUGUUGAUAUUUUUCUCAUGCUUCUAUUAGCACAUAAUUCAGAUACAUUAGUUUUGAAGUUUUGAAUCUUCUCUGCUUCUUGAGGGCUCUCUGUUCUAGAUCAACAUGAUCUGUGGAACACCAGCCAAGUCCUGGGCAGAACCCUCCCCGUUGUCCAAAUAUUACUGAAUCAGUUGAGUUUUCUCUGUUGUCAAUGAAUUAUUCCACAUGUUUCUUUGGCUACAUUUUUUUUGGCUUUCUGUUCACAGUAAAUAUAGCCUUUGUUUUUAAAAACUUCUAUUAUGAAAAUUCCAAAUAUAUGCAAAUUAGAGAGAAUAGCAUAAUGAACCUCUAUGUGCUUAUCACACAUAUAGGUUCAACUAAUUAAAUUAUAUCAAUUUAUGGCCAAUCUGGUUUCAUUUAUAACAUCAUUCGCUCAUUCCUAACUCCCUGGAUUAUUUGAUUGACAUGUUUCUAAAGUUCCUUUUAAUCUGUAGGUUCCCCCUCUCAUUUAAUCUUUUGCAACUUAUUCAUUGAUGAAACUGGGUUAUUUGUCCUUUAUUGUUUCUCUCAUUCUGAAAUAUGCUGUAAUGUCAUUAACCAUAUUCUUCUUUCCUGUAUUUUCUGUAAGCUUUGAGCUAGGCAGAAAUAUUUUAAUCAGAUUCCUUUUUUUUUCUUUUAGCAAGAUUUCUUCAUAAAUAAUAUUGUAUGUGUUCAUGAAAAUAGAAAUAAAAAUAGA
rnacentral:lncRNA from 1 species